UUGUGAAUAAUGCUGUAGUGAAUAUGGAAGUGCAGAUAUCUCUUUGAGCUCGAUUUCAAUUCUCAUGGAUAUAUACCCAGUUUGCUGAUCAUACAGUAGUUCCAUUAUUGUUUUUUGAGGACCCUCCAUACUGUUUUCCAUAGUGUCUGCACCAGUUUACAUUGCCACCAGUAGUAUACAAGGGUUUCCUUUUCUCUACAGCUUUCCCAACACUUACUGUCUUUUGCUUUUUUGGUAAUAGACAUCCUAACAGGUGUGAUAUGAUAUCUUAUUGUGAUUCUGAUUUGCAUUUCCCUGAUGAUUAGUGAUGUUGAGCAUCUUUUGAUGUACCUGUUGGCUAUUUGUAUGUCUUCUUUGGAGAAAUGUCUAUUUUAUUCCUUUGGCCAUUUAUUACUUUUUAAUUUUUUUAAUAAAUUUUUUUAUUUUUAAUUUUUGUGGGUACAUAGUAGCUGUAUAUUCUUAUUAUUUAUUUAUUUAUUUAUUUUUGAUAUGGAGUCUCGCUCUGUCACCCAGGCUGGAGUUCAGUGGUGCGAUACCGGCUCACUGCAACCUCUGCCUCCCGGGUUCAAGUGAAUCUCCUGCCUCAGCCUCCCGAGUAGCUGGAUUACAGGCGUGUGCCACCACACCCAGCUAACUUUUUGUAUUUUUAGUAGAGACGGGGUUUCACCGUGUUAGCCAGGAUGGUCUCAAUCUCCUGACAUCGUGAUCCACCUGCCUUGGCCUCCCGAACUGCUGGGAUUACCGGUGUGAGCCACUGUGCCCAACCAGUAGGUGUAUGUUGUUAUGGGGUACAUGAGAUGUUUUGAUACAGGCAUGCAGUGUGAAAUAAUCACAUCAUGGAGAUGAGGUAUCCUUCUCCUCAGGCAUUUAUCCUUUGUGUUACAAACAAUCCAGUUACACUCUUUUAGUUAUUUUGAAAGGUACAAUUAAUAUUGACUGUAGUCACCCUGUUGUGCUAUCAAAUAGUAAAUCUUAUUCAUUCUUUCUUUUUUUUUUUUUUUUUUUUUNNNNNNNNNNCUUUCUUUUUUUUUUUUUUUUGGUACCCAUUAACCAUCCUCACUCCUCCCGCAGCACCACAACAGUUUAUGUAGUAAGAAGGCUUUAGGUAGUUUUAAUGACACUUACUAAUAAAACCAGUUUUCAGGUUAGCAAAUAAAUGGUAGCCAGGGACUUUCCAGUCUAAGGAAAAUCAAGAACAAAUCAUUAUUUUCUUUUUCUUUUCAUGUUUAGAGUUAUUUUCAUUUUUUAUUCUACCAAAACACUGAUUAAAGAAUAUAAAGGCUUAAAAGCAUGUAUCAUAUAUAAGAGUUUGUAGUUAGGGACCUUCAAUCUGCUUUGAUGUGUAUUUUUUUUCCAGUUGUAGUUUUAAAAGUUAAAGUGGACCCAACAUUAUUAACCUAUUUAAUUCACUGCUAUUUGAAAUACGUGAUAGGAACCGAA
rnacentral:lncRNA from 1 species